rnacentral:RNase_P_RNA from 1 species
GAAGCUGACCAGACAGUCGCCGCUUCGUCGUCGUCCUUUCGGGGAGACGGGCGGAGGGGAGGAAAGCCCGGGCUCCAUAGGGCAGGGUGCCAGGUAACGCCUGGGGGGGAAACCCACGACCAGUGCAACAGAGAGCAGACCGCCGAUGGCCCACGUAAGUGGGAUCAGGUAAGGGUGAAAGGGUGCGGUAAGAGCGCACCGCGCGGCUGGUAACAGUCCGUGGCACGGUAAACUCCACCCGGAGCAAGGCCAAAUAGGGGUUCAUAAGGUACGGCCCGUACUGAACCCGGGUAGGCUGCUUGAGCCAGUGAGCGAUUGCUGGCCUAGAUGAAUGACUGUCCACGACAGAACCCGGCUUAUCGGUCAGUUUCACUU